rnacentral:tRNA from 2 species
GACAUUGUGGCGGAGUUGGUUAACGCGACAGAUUUGAAUUCCAAGUAUCUGUUUCCCUACGGGAGCGCAGGUUCGAAUCCUGUCAAUGUCG